AUUGAACGCUGGCGGCAUGCCUAACACAUGCAAGUCGAACGGCAGCGCAGGCUUCGCUUUCUCGGAGGGUGGGCAACGGGCGGGUGAGUGAUGGGUACGUCGCCAGCUGUUGUGGCGAGGGCGACAACGGCGGGAUAAUUACACUACUACAUCAGACGGUCAACGAGGGGGAUCAAGAGUCCUUGCGACCUUGGCCGAACCGAUGGCGGGUUGCCGGAUUAGUUAGUUGGUGGGUUAAAGGCCCACCAAGCCGACGAUCCGUAGCUAGUCUGAGAGGAUGACCAGCCACACUGGAGCUGAGACACGGCCCAGACUCCUACGGGAGGCAGCAGUGGGGAAUUUUGGACAAUGGGGGCAAGCCUGAUCCAGCCAUGCCGCGUGGGGGAAGAAGGCCUUCGGGUUGUAAACCCCUUUUGUUGGGAAAGAAAAGCUGUAGGCUAAUACCCCGCUGGUAUGACGGUACCGAAAGAAUAAGCACCGGCUAACUACGUG
rnacentral:rRNA from 1 species